rnacentral:rRNA from 1 species
GAUGAACGCUGGCGGCGUGCCUAAUACAUGCAAGUCGAGCGAACAGACGAGAGUGCUUGCACUCUCUGACGUUAGCGGCGGACGGGUGAGUCACACGUGUGUAACCUCCCUAUCAGACUGGGAUAACUUCGGGACACCGGCUCUAAUACCGGAUAAUAUUUAGCUUCGCAUGUCACAAUAGUGAGAGACGGUUCUUCUGUCAUUUAUAUAUGGCCCCGCGGUGUAUUAGCUAGUUGGUGAGGUAACGGCUCACCAAGGCAACGAUGCAUAGCCGACCUGAGAGGGUGAUCGGCCACACUGGGACUGAGACACGGCCCAGACUCCUACGGGAGGCAGCAGUAGGGAAUCUUCCGCAAUGGACGAAAGUCUGACGGAGCAAUGCCGCGUGAGUGAAGAAGGUUUUCGGAUCGUAAAACUCUGUUGUAAGGGAAGAACAAGUACGUUAGUAACUGAACGUACCUUGACGGUACCUUACCAGAAAGCCACGGCUAACUACGUG